UAUAGUACAUGUACGGCGUCAAACGCAGCUGUCCGACCCCCCAAUCUCUUCCGUUUCAUUUCUAUUGCAACCCAUCUCGAGUCUCUUCCUGUUUGACCUUCUCUUCUACGCAGAAAUCUGUUGCUUCUCGUUCAUAAACUGGCGAAUAUCUGGAGGUUCUCUACUCUUUGUUCUUCUCUGGACAGAUUUUUCCUCAGGCAUAGCUGAGUGCCCCUCUGAGUUGAGUAGAGUUUGGCAUACCUUUUCAGUUCAGUUUCUGCAUCUGAACCUUCUCUGCUUCACGUACGUAGUCCCAUGAAUCUGUUGCUUCUCGCGCAUAAUCUGGUGGAUAUCUAAGGUAAAUCUUGGUUAUGGAUCCAAGCUUUUCUGGAUAUCCUGAUUUCACAAACGAAACCCCAGUCAAUGACCAAACCGUCUCACCCCAUUCUAAUUACAACCCAAAUCUUGUAAACAUGGUCGACUUCAAUGUACCCUCCCCAGACUUUGGUUUCCUCGAAAACCCAUUUAUUCCACCUGAUCUGGGCCAGGCGGCAGAGCCAUAUGCUCCGUCCCCUGCUGCUGAUAGCUUGAGCCCGCAGUCGUCGGAGGACAGUGAGUACUCGGAAACAGUUCUCAAGUAUAUGAACCAGAUUCUUAUGGAAGAGAACAUAGAGGACAAGCCCUCCUUGUUCUUCGACCCUUUGGGUCUCGAAGUCACCGAGAAAUCGUUCUAUGAUGCUCUCGGUCAGAGAUACCCUCCUUCUCCCAGUCAAUACCAACCGCCGCCUUUUAUCAAUCGCAACGUCGAGAGUCCCGAUGAUGUUUUUUCUGGAAGCAGUGGUGAUUAUGGUACUAAUAGUAGUUCUACUACCGCUAGCUCUAGCACUGAUACUCAGUGGCUUGGUGAUCUUGGGGAGUACAAGUCCUCGAUUUCACAGGCUACUCAUCCUGCUGACCAUGUUUUACAGCCGAAUUUGCAGUCUAAUAGUGGGUCACAGUUUUUGGCAAAUCCCUCGAACGGUGUGAAUAAUAAUUUUGGUGAUGGGAUGGAGCUUUUGGCUCAGAACAUUUUUACUGAUAGUGAAUCUAUUUUGCAAUUUAGGAGAGGGUUAGAGGAAGCCAGCAAGUUUCUUCCUAGGGGUAAUCAAUUGGUUAUCGAUUUGGAGAGUAGCAAGGUGUUGUCGGAGUUAAAGGGAGAGGAUCACAAGGUGGGCAAGGGUGUGAGAGAGAAUUCACUAGAUGGGUCAAGGGGAAGGAAGAAUCAUGAGAGGGAAGAUAUAGAUUUAGAAGAAGGGAGGAGUAACAAGCAGUCUGCAGUUUAUGUGGAAGAGAGUGAAUUAUCGGAGAUGUUUGAUAAGGUGUUGCUUUCAACCAAUUCACUGUAUACGCUAUGCAGUAACAAUGAAUCAGGGAAGAAUGAAGCAAGCAGGGCCUCAUGGACAAAUGAACAACCACAAGGAGCUAAUGGUGGGAAGAGCCGUGGGAAGAAACAGGGAAAGGCGACAGAUACUGUUGAUUUGAGAGCUCUUUUGAUUCUAUGUGCACAAUCUGUUUCAGCAGGUGACAAUACAACUGCUAAUGAAUUACUGAAGCAGAUUAGGCAGCACUCUUCCCCUUUUGGUGAUGGUUCUCAGAGAGUGGCCCAUUUCUUUGCAAAUGGCCUUGAGGCACGCUUGGCUGGGACUCAAAUUUUCUAUACUCCUUUAGCUUCCAAGAAGAUUUCAGCUUAUGAAAUAUUGAAAGCUUUCCAAGUUCAUCUUUCAGCUUGCCCUUUCAAGAGGAUCUCACUUUUCUUUGCCAACAAGUCAAUUUAUAAAUUAUCAGAGAAAGCAACAAGUCUUCAUAUCAUAGACUUCGGUAUUGGAUAUGGUUUCCAGUGGCCAAUUCUGAUCCAUAAGCUCUCUAAGAGAUCUGGUGGGCCUCCCAAGCUACGGAUUACAGGGAUAGAAAUUCCCCAACCUGGUUUCCGUCCAACAGAGAGAAUCGAGGAGACUGGUCGUCGCUUAGCAAAGUAUUGUGAGCGGUUUAAUGUGCCUUUUGAGUACCAUGCCAUGGCAUCAUCGAACUGGGAGACUAUCCAAAUUGAGGAUCUCAAGAUUGAUAGGAAUGAGAUGCUUGCUGUGAACUGUUUGUACCGGUUUAAAAACUUACUUGAUGAGACUGUUGAAGAGACCAGUCCACGAAAUGCGGUUCUGAAUUUAAUCAGGAGGAUGAACCCCGAUAUUUUUGUCCAUUCAAUUGUUAAUGGAGCCUAUGAUGCCCCCUUCUUUGUUACAAGGUUCCGAGAAGCACUCUUCUUCUUCUCUGCAUUGUUUGACACAUUUGAUGUUACUAUACCCCGUGAAAACCAAGAGAGGUUAAUGUUUGAGAGAGAGAUCUAUGGAAGGGAGGCUAUGAACGUUAUAGCAUGUGAGGGCUUGAAAAGGGUGGAGAGGCCAGAGACGUACAAGCAGUGGCAACUCCGGACUGUGAGGGCUGGUUUCAGACAGCUUCCUUUGGACCAGGAGCUCAUGAACAUAUUCAAGUCUAAGAUGAAGGAAUGGUACCACAAGGAUUUUGUAUUUGAUGAAGACAGCCGCUGGAUGCUUCUUGGUUGGAAGGGCCGGAUUAUCAAUGCUUCCUCUUGUUGGGUUCCAGCUUAGAAAUCUUCCAAAGGAUGCUUGUGAAAUCUCGAUUUAGUGCUGGGCUGGCAAAAAUACUUUAGGAAGGGAGAAGUCUUGCUCACCACGUCCAUUCCCCGAUAAUUACGGCCACUGAUUCUGCCUCUGCCACUACUAGUUUUAUGGUCGCCCCUGCCUCGACCAAUCAUUAAAUCUGCCAAUGCUUGCAUUGGUAUACCUUUCUUGUUUUCUUAGCAUUCAAACAAACAUCUUCUUCCUACAGUUUCCUCCACUGAUUUAGCUUUCCACUUUUGGUUUGCUUCAAAUAUGAGUUGAAAAAAUGUCUUUCUCCUAGUGCUGUAAAAUGUGUUCCCCAAGUCUUCAUGGCUUUCUGGUGGAGGCCAUAUAACAGGAUGAUCGAGGGUACUAUGCUGGAUGUCAAAAUUCCGACUCUCACUAAAGAUAGUCUAGAUUUUGGGAGUUCUGGUUGGACUACAUCAAUUCUAUAUUCCAAGUCUGAUGUAACAAUUCUGGAUUUUUCUCCUCAGUUCAUAAAAUACCCUAAUAAAUAGAUAUUUGCUCUUAUUCUUA